rnacentral:rRNA from 1 species
CCCUUAGAUGUUCUGGGCCGCACGCGCGCUACACUGAUGCAUUCAACGAGCCUAUCCUUGACCGACAGGUCCGGGUAAUCUUUGAAUCUGCAUCGUGACGGGGAUAGAUUAUUGCAAUUAUUAAUCUUCAACGAGGAAUGCCUAGUAGGCGCAAGUCAUCAGCUUGCGUCGAUUACGUCACUGCCCUUUGUACACACCGCCCGUCGCUCCUACCGAUUGGGUGUGCUGGUGAAAUGUUCGGAUCGGCCGUUUGUCGCGGUUUCCGCGUCAUGUGGCUGAGAAGUUCAUUAAACCCUCCCACCUAGAGGAAGGAGAAGUCGUAACA